CUCUUGAUGGCUGAGAUGGUAAAGAAUCUGCCUGCAAUGCAGGAGACCCAGGUUCGAUCCCUGGGUUGGAAA
rnacentral:tRNA from 1 species